rnacentral:rRNA from 1 species
UGCCAGCAGCCGCGGUAAGACGAAGGUGGCAAACGUUGCUCGGAAUUACUGGGCAUAAAGAGCGCGUAGGUGGCGAGAUAAGCGAGGAAUGAAAUCCCAUGGCUCACCCAUGGAACUGUUUUUCGAACUGUCUUGCUUGAGGACGGGAGGGGAAGGUGGAAUUCCUGGUGUAGCGGUGAAAUGCGUAGAUAUCAGGAGGAACACCGGUGGCGAAAGCGACCUUCUGGCCCGAUCCUGACACUGAGGCGCGAAAGCUAGGGGAGCAAACAGGAUUAGAUA